rnacentral:misc_RNA from 1 species
AAGUCGUAACAAGGUAACCGUAGGUGAACCUGCGGUUGGAUCAUUAACAAAUCCAACUUUGCGCUUCUUAGCGCAUCCAACAUUUUGUGCACUGUAAUUGUCUUUGGCGGGUUGUGUUGCUUGCUUGAGAUGGGGAAAUUUCCUCAGCUCACAAGACGUCUGUCGUAUGCCAAUCAUGGUGACAGCCAGCCCGUCCGUCACUCCUACACCAAGGUUUGGCAACAACUAAACGCAAUGAAUUUUUUUUCUAUAUCUGAAUCCUUUCCACGAAAGCGGAAUUGUAUAUUAUAAUUAAAAACAACUUUUGACAACGGAUCUCUUGGCUCUU